AUAAAAUAUUACCUCUAAGCAUCCUUCUUUGUGAAAUUGAUAAAUUGUACCCUGUACUUCAGGUAUAAUUUCACUGAUUGUAUUAUGAACUCUUCUGAAUUGAUAUACCAAACUACGAAAUAUUUCUCCUAUCAGCAAUAAAUUUAUUAAUACAUUGUUAUGAGAUAAUGGACAUUUGACACAUAAAGUAGUAAUUGGCAAGCACUUGCCUGCAGACAAAUAUCUGAAAGUCAAGGAAAGUUGUUACCGGAUGAAAUUGGACUACGCAAUCACUUUAUCUUGGUAUCUUCUAUUAUUUCUUUUUUAUAUUUGGUUCAAUUUUUAUUAACAUGCUUUGAAAAGUACCUGUAUCCAUAUGCAAAUUCCAUGAUAUUCUUCAGUUUCCGAUAAUUUCAAUUUGUUCAUUAUAUGAUGAAAGUACGAAAAUUGUUGUCAGUCACUCGCGGAACAAAAAAUUGCAAUCUGACCACUGCCAGGAACAAUGGUAGAUUGAUUACGGGUUGUGCGAGCAGAACCACACUUCUGUGAAGUCAUCCUGUGAUGUACUGAAAGCUUUGCAGUGUUUCAACUGUCCGUGAUAUUGGUUUGCUUGUCGUUUUGAAAUUAACCGGAUUUAGAUCUAAAGGUCGACGAGUUUCGGUUGAUUGACUAGAUAGCAUCCAUAGAAGUUAAUUAGACUCUAAAAACAGUUUAUUGUUGCAUAUUAAAGAUUUUCAACUUUCAAAAAUCUUUAAUAGUUUUCGUCACUUUCAUUAUAAGAUGAAUUCCAUCAGAGCAAACAGUUUCCAAGAAAAUCAAUCUUUGAAAUUCCAUAGAUAUUUACUCUUAACCCCUAUUUGUUUUGCAUGUUGAACAGUAUUCGUAGAUUGUGAACGAUUUGGCUUUUCGUCUACUAAAGCUUUUAAAAUGUUAUCUAAAUAAAUAAAAGCAAGAUCACAGAGAAUAGAAUGCAUGAAAGUUUUUGUAUGGAGAUUUUACAUUUCCCAAGCCAAAUAGAAAUUGAAUAAAAUUCGGAAAGGCCAAAUAAUGUUCCAAUUGCACUUUCUGAUGAUAACCCGGAAUUAGAGUACUGUUGUAACAGGCACAAACAAGAUUGAUCUUUAAAAUUUUACCUUCCGGCUAAUUCAUUGCAAAAAUCGGCUAUAUGCAAUAGUGAUCUGCUCUAGUGAUUGUAUUUAGUGGGAAUAAUCGUCACAUGACCGUCAGCUGCCGUUUGUUUUCCUCACCAUAUGAAGUCUAACGCCCACGAACUAUUCGAAGGGAGACAUUCGUCCGAGUUGCACAGAAAAUGAAACUCGUGGCGGCAGCCGCCAAUAUAUCCAGAGAUAUAAGAAGAAGUUUGGAAAAACUGGUCUGCUGGUUUCAAUGAUCUGAAACCAUAACGAAGAGGUACUGUUUGUACAAUACGGGAUAGUUCUACAGAAUAUUAUUUUACUUAUUUGAAAUCGUACUAAUUGAAUUUAAUGCAAGUACGAAAAUGAUAAUACUAAGAGGAAAAUGAUCACAUAAUGAUUGAUUCGACUAUUUGUGGAUGUUCUAGGUGCCAAGAUUACAAUGACUUCCAAAAUAUUUAAGCUAAUAUAAGUAUGUUACGAUGAUCAUUACGAAGACUAAAACAUUGGUUUAAUAAUGUUUAUUUUGACUUUUAUUAUACCAGAACUGAGAGUCUUGUUGGUUGAACUGAUUCCAUAUACAAAUUUGAUUGCAUUGGCAAUGUCAAUCAACUACAGCCGUGAGAGGUAAUACAAACAGCAGCAACUAUAUCGAAUAGGUAUUUUGUUCCUUUUUUGUCUUGCUGGUAUAGUUAUUACGAUAAUGGUAUGGGCGAUUAAUCUUGUUUCCUCUGGUUUCUACCCCUAGCGAGAAAUCGUACCGUUUACCAACUCGUCGGCACUGGUGUAUUCCAAAAUACGUUGAGCUGAAGAGAAUAGUGUAACAAACUUGCAUCCUCAUUUUUAAAAUGCCAACUGUACUAACAUAGUGUGCAAUUGGAGAGUAUAUCCCCAGAUUGCGAUGAUUGACGGGCUUCAAAAUUUUGGAGGACUAGGACAUUCGGUGAGGAGUUAUCUGUUAUAUUUGUAGAUUCCUUAAUCGUUCUUAAAUACGGAAAGAUGCAAUUUCAAAAUGAGUAGAAGUAAUCGCUUUUAUUUUCAAUGUUCAGUCGGUCUUAAUAGCAAAUUAAGAAAUUAUUAUAUAUUAUUAUUAUUAUUUAUUGGCAGAAUUAAUCCAUGCAUAUAUUGGCAGAUAGUUAUUCUAACCAAAGAAAUCAAUGCUUCUUUAUACAAAGUAUCAUUUGAUAGUUCCCAUAGUGGUGUAUUGUUUCCAAAAAUAGAUGACAGUUUCUAAUUUGUUUUUCACUUUGUAUAGGGUAAUAUCUGCGAAACUAAUAUUAAAGUACUUUAAAUAUAUAAAUAAAUGUCUGUAAUCGGUGAGUAUCGAAAAUGUCAGAAAUUUCCUCUAAAGUGUAUCCAUCUAAUGAUGCAGUAACACAAUAAAAGUUACUUAGAUACUGAUAAUAAAAAAUUCCCUUCGAUUUGUCUGUACCUUCGGUCGGAUGGCCGUAUGAUAUAGCAUCUGCUUACAUCUUGGAAAAUCCGAGUUCAAAUUCGAAUACCUACUUGUAAUUUUUCAAGAGAUGUUCGAGUCUAGCCUGCUGAAACCCGGCUCCUGAUUUGGUGGCUUAAAUAACUUAUUGAUAAUUUAACCUAAUUUGUCUGAGUCAAAACGCCUCCGGAUAUUGACAACAGAAGAUUGAUAAGAUUAUACCAAUCACUGUAAACUAUCUGUUACAUUGUGAUUUCCUUCAUUGUACUGCUAAUGUCUUCAAUCCUGUUGCUAGAGUUAGAUAUUAUAGUUCAUAUGCUUUGCAUUGGUUCAAAAAUUAUACGUAUAUUUUUUCGUGUCACGUCAAUAAUUCUGGCCACUAAUAUAGAAAUCUGUGAUAUAGUUUCCAUUUAAUACUUACGAUUUGCAUAUUAUUGUAUGUAUAUUUGGAGAAGUUCAGUUUGUCCUCUGGAUCCAUAUUUUACGAUUGCCGUGAUGUGUUAUUUCUCAAAGAAAUCAUUGAUAAACGAAAGGUUAACCGUAUAUCGUGCUUAUUCGUUCAAAACUAUGUCUCUUUCAUUACACCUUUAUUUAAAACAUGAAUUCAUGUUUUAAAUGAAGGUGUUCAGUUAAUUUUCUGACUAUUUCUCUUCAUAUCAAGAAGAUUGAAAAAAAAUUACAGACAAACCAAACAAAAGCCUAUUUAAUUGUAUGUAUCAGUAUUUUUUAUUUAUGCAAAGAGUAUAGAAUAUUUAUAAUUUGCUUUUGUGUGUAAUAAAUAUAAGAAAUUCCAGAAAUAAAUAAAAUUGCC
rnacentral:lncRNA from 1 species